ACGAACGCUGGCGGCGUGCUUAACACAUGCAAGUCGAACGGUGAAGCGCCUUCCUUUUUGGUGGGUGUGGAUGAGUGGCGAACGGGUGAGUAACACGUGAGUAACCUGCCCCCUUCUUCUGGAUAACCGCAUGAAAGUGUGGCUAAUACGGGAUAUUCUGGGUCUGUCGCAUGAUGGGUCUGGGAAAGAUAUUGUUUCGGUGGGGGAUGGGCUCGCGGCCUAUCAGCUUGUUGGUGGGGUGAUGGCCUACCAAGGCGGGGACGGGUAGCCGGCCUGAGAGGGUGGACGGUCACACUGGGACUGAGACACGGCCCAGACUCCUACGGGAGGCAGCAGUGGGGAAUAUUGCACAAUGGGCGCAAGCCUGAUGCAGCGACGCCGCGUGAGGGAUGGAGGCCUUCGGGUUGUGAACCUCUUUCGCCAGUGAAGCAGGCCUGCCUCGUUUGUGGGUGGGUUGACGGUAGCUGGAUAAGAAGCGCCGGCUAACUACGUG
rnacentral:rRNA from 1 species